AAAGCGUGCGCAGGCGGUUAUGUAAGACAGAUGUGAAAUCCCCGGGCUCAACCUGGGAACUGCAUUUGUGACUGCAUGGCUAGAGUACGGUAGAGGGGGAUGGAAUUCCGCGUGUAGCAGUGAAAUGCGUAGAUAUGCGGAGGAACACCGAUGGCGAAGGCAAUCCCCUGGACCUGUACUGACGCUCAUGCACGAAAGCGUGGGGAGCAAACAGGAUAAGAUACCCUUGU
rnacentral:rRNA from 1 species